rnacentral:rRNA from 1 species
GACGAACGCUGGCGGCGUGCUUAACACAUGCAAGUCGAACGGAAAGGCCCUGCUUUUGUGGGGUGCUCGAGUGGCGAACGGGUGAGUAACACGUGAGUAACCUGCCCUUGGCUUUGGGAUAACUUCAGGAAACUGGGGCUAAUACCGGAUAGGAGCUCCUGCUGCAUGGUGGGGGUUGGAAAGUUUCGGCGGUUGGGGAUGGACUCGCGGCUUAUCAGCUUGUUGGUGGGGUAGUGGCUUACCAAGGCUUUGACGGGUAGCCGGCCUGAGAGGGUGACCGGCCACAUUGGGACUAAGAUACGGCCCAGACUCCUACGGGAGGCAGCAGUGGGGAAUAUUGCACAAUGGGCGGAAGCCUGAUGCAGCAACGCCGCGUGCGGGAUGACGGCCUUCGGGUUGUAAACCGCUUUCGCCUGUGACGAAGCGUGAGUGACGGUAAUGGGUAAAGAAGCACCGGCUAACUACGUG